AACGAACGCUGGCGGCAUGCCUAACACAUGCAAGUCGAACGAGACCUUCUGGUCUAGUGGCGCACGGGUGCGUAACGCGUGGGAACCUGCCCUUAGGUUCGGAAUAACUCCCCGAAAGGGGUGCUAAUACCGGAUAAUGUCUUCGGACCAAAGAUUUAUCGCCUUUGGAUGGGCCCGCGUUGGAUUAGCUAGUUGGUAGGGUAAAAGCCUACCAAGGCGACGAUCCAUAGCUGGUCUGAGAGGAUGAUCAGCCACACUGGGACUGAGACACGGCCCAGACUCCUACGGGAGGCAGCAGUGGGGAAUAUUGAACAAUGGGCGAAAGCCUGAUCCAGCAAUGCCGCGUGAGUGAUGAAGGCCUUAGGGUUGUAAAGCUCUUUUACCCGGGAUGAUAAUGACAGUACCGGGAGAAUAAGCUCCGGCUAACUCCGUG
rnacentral:rRNA from 1 species